GACGAACGCUGGCGGCGUGCUUAACACAUGCAAGUCGAACGGAAAGGCCCUGCUUUUGUGGGGUGCUCGAGUGGCGAACGGGUGAGUAACACGUGAGUAACCUGCCCUUGACUUUGGGAUAACUUCAGGAAACUGGGGCUAAUACCGGAUAGGAGCUCCUGCUGCAUGGUGGGGGUUGGAAAGUUUCGGCGGUUGGGGAUGGACUCGCGGCUUAUCAGCUUGUUGGUGGGGUAGUGGCUUACCAAGGCUUUGACGGGUAGCCGGCCUGAGAGGGUGACCGGCCACAUGGGGACAGAGAUAGGGCCCAGACGCAUACGGGAGGCAGGAGUGGGGAAUAUUGCACAAUGGGCGGAAGCCGGAUGCAGCAACGCCGCGUGCGGGAUGACGGCCUUCGGGUUGGAAACCGCUUUCGCCUGUGACGAAGCGUGAGGGACGGUAAUGGGUAAAGAAGCACCGGCUAACUACGU
rnacentral:rRNA from 1 species